rnacentral:rRNA from 1 species
CUCAAAGAUUAAGCCAUGCAUGUCUAAGUGGAGUAUUAUAAAGCGAAACUGCGAACGGCUCAUUACAACAGAUAUAAUUUACUAGUUCUUGAUCCUAUAUGGAUAACUGCGGUAAUUCUGGAGCCAAUACAUGCAUCAAGCCUCGGCCUUCGGGUCCGGGGUGCAAUUAUUGGAGCAAAACCAGUCUCGUACUGAUUGCUAACUCUGGAUAAUUCUGCUUAUCGCAUGGUCUUGUACCGGCGAAGUUUCUUUCAAGUAUCUGCUUUAUCAACUAUCGUUGGUAGUUUAUUGGACUACCAUGGUGUUGACGGGUAACGGAGAAUCAGGGUUUGACUCCGGAGAGGGAGCCUUAGAAACGGCUACCAUGUCUAAGGAUAGCAGCAGGCGCGAAAAUUACCCAAUAUCAAAACGAUGAGGUAGUGACGAGAAAUAACGAGAUCGUUCUCUUUGAGGUCGAUUAUUGGAAUGAGUACAAUCCAGACAUUUUAACGAGUACCUACGAGAGGGCAAGUCUGGUGCCAGCAGCCGCGGUAAUUCCAGCUCUCGUAAUGUAUAGAAUUAUUGUUGCGAUUAAAAAGUUCGUAGUUGGAUUGUUACGCAGACAUGGGUCCACCUUCGUGGUGCGUACUCAAUGUUUGCAUUUUGUUGGUUUUCGCGGCGUCGCAAGAUGUCGUGUUGCCAGCAGGAUUACUUUGAACGGCUCAAGUGCUUAAAGCGAGUCUUAUGACUGAAUACCGGUGCAUGGAAUAAUGGAACAAGGUUGCGGCCGAGUUUUAUUGGUUUUGUCGGCUGAAACAAUGGUUAACAGGAACAGCCGGGGGCAUUCGUAUCGCUGCGCGAGAGGUGAAAUUCGUGGACCGUAGCGAGACGUCCGACAGCGAAGGCAUUUGCCAAGAGUGUUUUCAUUAAUCAAGAACGAAAGUCAGAGGUUCGAAGGCGAUUAGAUACCG